rnacentral:lncRNA from 1 species
AGAUACAGAAGGAAAGUAAAGCUAGAGGAUGCAAGCUACGUCUCAGCCAGUUUGAGGAAAGAGAGGACCUGGUGACACAGACUGCACCAAAAUAGCAGAAGGAAAAGAAGGAAGAGGCAAUGUCACACUUCUGCUAAGAAGAGAGUUAUGGCAAGUACAAGUUGCUGAGAAAGAAGCAAACUGCUCAUUUGGAUGAAGGAAAUUAAUUCUUUGAAGCCAUCAAAGAUUCCUGCAGCUUUGAGAAUAGUUUGGAAAUAUUAUUCUUGCCUCCUAUGGUCAUCCUGUUAUUCAUCAGCAGAUGCUACUGAUCCAACAGCUUCCCAGCUAAGAUGGAAGGAUGAGAGAGGCCCUAAGGUAACUUCUGAGGGCAUGGGACUUGGCGGUAAAAACAGAGAAGGUGCUGUGGACCCCAUUUUCGGAAGAAAACUGUUUUCCUCACAGAAUCCCAGGAAUUGAAAGCUGAUGGAUACCUCUCAAAAUCUGUUUUUGUCUUCUGGCUAUGCCUGUUUAUUAGGCUGUAGAAAUUGCAUGCUCUCCUAGCGGUGCUUUUGAAAGCCUCCAUCCUGAGGCCAAUAAUCCAAUUAUGAGAUUGGCAAAUGAAAAAUCUUACAAUUACUGUAUCUUCUUCUAUCUGUCUGUAUAGUUAUAUAUGUGUUAUAUGUGUGAUAUUUAUAAAAAAGAGCUCUAAUUGAUUAGCCUAAAGAAAAACAAGUGCUUAGACCAAAUAUUUUGAAGGAAAAAUAAAAGCUGUAAUGCCUUUUAGUUCACGUGACUUUAAUCUUUGAGAAAUAAAAACAGUUUUAAAGAUAAUUGGUAAAAUACAAAUGUCUUCAGAAUGUAAACAAGUGGUCUAAAUUAUGUGGGUUAGAUACUAGGUUUGCGAAAUGUUUUAAGGUUAUAAACUACUUCUUUGUUAUUUGAGAACUUUUUGACCUGCCUGCUUUACAAUUUGGUAAGGCUGAGGACAUAUGGAAUUAACCACACCCUUAACUAUACUGGAAAGAGUCAGAUCUUAUCUGUGCCUACUACAUAAUUUAAAUAACCAAGUUUUACACUAAAAUUAAAAAUUGCUAAGAGUUGCUGUUAUAACAUGUAAUUGAGACUACUGAAAAUAGACUUACAUGCAAUGUGUGUAAACAAAGUAAAAUAUGUUUUUAGUAAAAGAUAAGAAGACAAGGGAAUGUAAAUUUUUGCCUAGGGUUAAAGGAUUGUUUUGAAUUAGACAAGAUAAAACUGAAGGUUUAAACAAGUGGAGAAAGGUUUAUAAAAAUGAUCUUAUAAAAGAAGCUCUAUGUGUAACAUAUUGACUAACUUCAAAAGGGUAUUAUUUGGUUUUUCUGUAAAUUAAGCAUUGAAAUAAAAGCACAACAAGGUUUUCUUGAGGCACUGACCUGCUCUUUCACAAAAAUUUGUAGAGUUAUAAAAGGAUUACAAGAAUUUCAUCUGAUGGUCAAACUGGUUAAGAUUGAAUAGAAUUAUCUAUAAGGUUUCAUUUAAAAAUGGAGUUGAUAUUAAUAGUAGACUAAUGCAAGAGUAAAAUUUGGCUUUCUCUCUUGAACAAGAUUUUCAUGUAAUAGUAAAAGAUAAUGAAAAGUUUUUGCCUUUUUAAAAAUUUCUGAGUCAUCAUUUUGGCUAAAUAAAUAACUUAUGGUAAUCUGCUAUUCUAUUUCAUAAUAUCAGGUGUUUUGAACCUUCAACACAUUUAACAGACUUCCUAAAGUCAAACUUCAGCUUCAAAAAUUGUCUUUCCUAACCUCUAGCUUUUGGAUGCUACAGAGGGCUCUUGGAGUAUUCAAAAGAAAGGUAAACAGGAUUAUUUCACAUGUUUAGUUACAUGGGAUUGCCAAAAUAAUGUUUAAUCUUCUUCAGGUUAUAUUUCAGUGAAUAAUAUUAAUAUAUGUUCCAAAAUUGUAUGGGAUUUUAAAAAUUCUAAUGUCUGAAUAUAUGCUAUCAAUCAUAAUUAAGUUUAUUAUGUCAAGUUAUUGUAAACCACAGAAAUAACUACAUUUCUUUGUCAAUUGUGUUUUUGACUGUAACUACCCUGGAUAUUUUGUCAUUCACAGAUAAGUGUUGCCUUGCUUUAAUCCUUUUCAAAAGAUGGUUUAUAAUCAGCUAUAGGACUUUGACAGGUGCUGUUAAAUGUAGGUUUCUGAUAUCUCUGAAGAUUGUAAUAUUGGAACAAAGGAAAAAUGUACAGGACACCUGAAGAGUUGAAAUGUUCAUGGAUAUCAAACAGAAUAAAAGUUAACAGAAUGGACUGAACUAACAGAAAACUGAAGUAAUCUUUUUAACCUUUGUGCUUAAAUCCUUGCUGAUACUUGUUUUGUUUCUCAGAAUCAAGGAAACUUAUUUUGAGCUAUUUACAGUGUUUAAUAAUUGAGUAAAAUAUAUACCUGUGAACAAAAUUUCAAACAUAUUUGUUGCUCUCUGCCUGGCUUCUCCAGAAUUUGAAAACUAUUUGUGAGUAUUCUUAGCUUAUGGCAAUAUACUUAUUUGCAUUAGUGCAAUAAGAAUCCAUUUUCUUUUGCAACAGGACACAAUUGGAGAAACUGGAUGUUUUACCAAGGCUUUGGCUGGAAGGAUAUGCUUCCCUUUAAGGAAUCAAGUUUGACUUGCAGAGGCAAUAAAAGCCCCCUGGGAAAACUGGCCUCAUACUUUGUUUACACAGCCCCCAUACAGGGUUUCUAAACUGUGGUGAGUAAAGAAUGUCACUUUUUUUUUUUUUUUUUUUUGAGAUGGAGUCUUGCUCUGUUGCCCAGGCUGGAGUGCAGUGGCAUGAUCUCGGCUCACUGCAAACUCCACCUCCUGGGUUCACGCCAUUCUCCUGACUCAGCCUCCCAAGUAGCUGGGACUACAGGCACCCACCACCACACCCGGCUAAGUUUUUGUAUUUUUAGUAGAGACGGAGUUUCACCAUGUUAGCCAGGAUGGUCUCGGUCUCCUGACCUUGUGAUCUGCCCUCUGCAGCCUCCCAAAGUGCUGGGAUUACAGGUGUGAGCCAUUGCGCCUGGCCAAGUAUGUCACUUUCUAUCAGGCCCAGGAGCCCCAUGCUUUUGCCACCUUAAGAAGAGAGGAAUUUACCUAACUCAUAGGUAUUUGAGGGUACAAACCCAUUGUUAAGCUCAGCUUUAAAAGGUCUUAUCUGAAAUUCCUUGUGGAAGAGAGUUCCAUCAAAGCCAAUUUAAAAGUGUCAGGCCUCUGAGCCCAAGCUAAGCCAUCAUAUCCCCUGUGACCUGCACGUAUACAUCCAGAUGGCCUGAAGUAACUGAAGAAUCAGAAAAGAAGUAAUAUUUAAAUGGCCUGUUCCUGCCUUAACUGAUGACAUUCCACCACAAAAGAAGUGAAAAUGGCUGGUCCUUGCCUUAACUGAUGACAUUACCUUGUGAAAUUCCUUCUCCUGGCUCAUCCUGGCCUAAAAAGCUCCCUGACUGAGCACUUUGUGACCCCCACUCCUGCCUGCCAGAGAACAACCCCUCUUUUUCCUUUACCUACCCAAAUCUUAUAAAACAGCCCCACCCCUAUCUCCCUUUGCUGACUCUCUUUUUGGACUCAGCCUGCCUGCACCCAGGUGAAAUAAACAGCCUUGUUGCUCACACAAAGCCUGUUUGGUGGUCUCUUCACAUGGAUGCGAGUUAAAUUUUGGUGCUGUGACUCAGAUCAGGGGACCUCCCUUGGCAGAUCAAUCCCCUGUCCUCCUGCUCUUUGCUCCGUGAGAAAGAUCCACCUACAACCUCAGAUCCUCAGACUGACCUGCCCAAGGAACACCACACCCAUUUUAAAUCAGAGACAGGAGACGCAUUUUAUCCGGACCCAAAACUCCGGCGCCAGUCACGGACUCAGGAAGACAGUCUUCCCUUGGUGUUUAAUCACAUGGGGAUGCCUGCCUGAUUAUUCAUCCACGUUUCAGAGGUGUCUGACCACGCGAGGAAGCCUGCCUUGGUCCUUCACCCUUAGUGGCAAGUACCACUUUUCUGGGGGGCAAGAACCCCCCGACCCCUUCUCUCCAUGUCUCUAUCCCUUCUCUGCUUUUCUAGGGGGCAAGAACCCCCUGACUCCUUCUCUCCAUGUCUCUACCCCUUCUCUGCUUUUCUGGAAGGCAAGAACCCCCCAGCCCCUUCUCCUUCACCCUUAGCAGCAAGUACUGCUUUUCUAGGGGGCAACAACCCCCCCAACCCCUUCUCUCCGUGUCUCUACUGCUUCUCCACUUUUGUGGGGGGCAAGAACCCCCCAACCCCUCCUCUCCGUGUCUCUACCCCUUUUCCACUUUCCUGGGGGCAAGCACCCCCCACCCCUUCUCUCCGUGUCUCUACUCUCUCUUUUCUCUGGGCUUGCCUCCUUCACUAUGGGCAGCCUUCCACCCUCCAUUCCUCCUUCUUCUCCCUUAGCCUGUGUUCUCAAGAACUUAAAACCUCUUCAACUCACACCUGACCUAAACCUAAAUGCCUUAUUUUUCUUCUACAAUGCCGCUUGACCCCAAUAUAAACUCGAUAGUUGUUCCAAAUAGCCAGAAAACAGCACUUUCAAUUUUUCCAUCCUACAAGAUCUAGAUAAUUCUUAUUGUAAAAUAGGCAAAUAGUCUGAGGUGCCUGACGUCCAGGCAUUCUUUUACACAUUGUUCCCUCCCUAGUCUCUGUUCCCAAUGUGACUCAUCCCAAAUCCUCCUUCUUUCCCUCCCGCCUGUCUUCCCAGUCCCAACCCCAAGCGUCGCUGAGUCUUUCUAAUCUUCCUUUUCUACAGACCCAUCUGACUUCUCCCCUUCUCCCCAGGCUGCUCCUAGCCAGGCUGAGCCAAGUCCCAAUUCUUCCUCAGCCUCUGAUCCCCCACACUAUAAUCCUUUUAUCACCUCCCUUCCUCACACCGGGUCCAGCUUACAGUUUCCUUCCACAACUAGCCCUCCCCCACCUGCCCAGCAAUUUCCUCUUAAAAAGGUGGCUGGAGCUAGAGGCAUAGUCAAGGUUAAUGCUCCUUUUUCUUUAUCAGACCUCUCCCAAAAUCAGUUAGCAUUUAGGCUCUUUUUCAUCAAAUAUGAAAAACCCAGCCCAGUUCAUGGCUUGUUCGGCAGCAACCCUGAGACGCUUUACAGCCCUAGACCCUAAAAGGUCAAAAGGCCAUCUUAUUCUCAAUAUACAUUGUAUUACCCAAUCUGCUCCUGACAUUAAAUAAAACUCCAAAAAUUAAGUUCCAGCCCUCAAACCCCACAACAGGACUUAAUUAACCUCACCUUCAAGGUGUACAAUAAUAGAGUAGAGGUAGCCAAGUAGCAAUGUAUUUCUGAGUUGCAAUUCCUUGCCUCCACUGUGAGACAAACCCCAGCCAUAUCUCCAGCCCACAACUCCAAAUGCCUGAACUGCAGCUGCCGGGGGUUCCUCCAGAACCUCCUCCCCCAGGAGCUUGCUACACAUGCCAGAAAUCUGGCCACUGGGCCAAGGAAUGCCCACAGCCCGGGAUUCCUCGUAAGCCAUGACCCAUCUGUGUGGGACCCCACUGAAAAUUGGACUGUUCAACUCACCUGGCAGCCAUUUCCAGAGACCCUGGAACUCUGGCCCAAGGCUCUCUGACUCCUUCCCCAAUCUUCUCAGCUUAGUGGCUGAAGACUGACACUGCCCGAUCGCCUCAGAAGCCCCCUAAACCAUCACGGAUGCUGAGCUUCAGGUAACUCUCACAAUGGAAGGUAAGUCCGUCCCAUUCUUAAUCAAUACGGACGCUACCCACUCCACAUUACCUUCUUUUCAAGGGCCUGUUUCCCUUGCCUCCAUAACUGUUGUAGGUAUUGAUGGCCAGGCUUCUAAACCUCUUAAAACUCCCCAACUCUGGUGCUAACUUAGACAAUACUCUUUUAAGCACUCCUUUUUAGUUAACCCCACCUGUUCAGUUCCCUUAUUAGGCUGAGACACUUUAACUAAAUUAUCUGCUUCCCUGACUAUUCCUGGGCUACAGCCACACCUCAUUGCCAUCUUUUCCCCCAGUUCAAAGCCUCCUUCACAUCCUCCCCUUGUAUCUCCCCACCUUAACCCACAAGUAUAAGACACCUCUACUCCCUCCUUAGUGACCGAUCAUGCACCCCUUACCAUCCCAUUAAAACCUAAUCACCCUUACCCUGCUCAAUGCCAAUAUCCCAUCCCACAGCAUGCUUUAAAAGGAUUAAAGUCUGUUAUCACUCACCUGCUACAGCAUGGCCUUUUAAAGCCUAUAACCUCCCCUUACAAUUCCCCCAUUUUACCUGUCCUAAAACCAGACAAGGCUUACAGGUUAGUUCAGGAUCUGCGCCUUAUCAACCAAAUUGUUUUGCCUAUCCACACUGUGGUGCCAAACCUAUAUACUCUCCUAUCCUCAAUACCCAUUAUUAAUACCCUCAAUACCCUCCACAACCCAUUAUUCUGUUCCAGAUCUCAAACUUGCUUUCUUUACUAUUCCUUUGCACCCUUCAUCCCAGCCUCUCUUCCCUUUCACUUGGACUGACCCUGACACCCAUCAGGCUCAGCAAAUUACCUGGGCUGUACUGCUGCAAGGCUUCACAGACAGCCCCCAUUACUUCAGUCAAGCCCAAAUUUCUUCCUUAUCUGUUACCUAUGAUGGCAUAAUUCUCAUAAAAACACACGUGCUCUCCCUGCUGGUCAUGUCUGACUGAUCUCUCAAACCCCAGCACCUUCUACAAAACAACUCCUUUCCUUCCCAGGCAUGGUUAGAUACUUUCAACUUUAGAUACCUGGUUUUCCCAUUAUAACAAAACCAUUAUAUAAACUCACAAAAGGAAACCUAGCUGACUCCAUAGAUCCUAAAUCCUUUCCCCACUCCUCUUUCCAUUCCUUGAAGACAACUUUAGAGACUGCCCCCACUCUAGCUCUCCCUGACUCAUCCCAACCCUUUUCAUUACCCACAGCUGAAGUGCAGGGCUGUGCAGUCAGAAUUCUUACACAAGGACCAGGAUCGCAUCCUGUAGCCUUUUUAUCCAAACAACUUGACCUUACUGUUUUGUCUAGCCCUCAAGUCUGCGUGCAGCAGCUACCACCACCCUAAUACUUUUAGAGGCCCUUAAAAUCACAAACUAUGCUCAACUCACUCUCUACAGUUCUCUUAACUUCCAAAACCUAUUUUCUUCCUCACACCUGACACGUAUACUUUCUGCUCCCUGGCUCCUUCAGCUGUACUCACUCUUUGUUGAGUCUCCCACAAUUACCAUUGUUCCUGGCCUGGACUUCAAUCCGGCCUCCCACAUUAUUCCUGAUACCACACCUGACCGCCAUGACUGUAUCUCUCUGAUCCACCUGACAUUCACCCCAUUUCCCCAUAUUUCCUUCUUUCCUGUUCCUCACCCUGAUCACAGUUGGUUUAUUGAUGGCAGUUCCACCAGGCCUAAUUGCCACACACCAGCAAAGGCAGGCUAUGCUAUAGCACAAGCCACUAGCCAACCUCUAAGAACCUCUCAUUUCUUUUCCAUCGUGGAAAUCUAUCCUCAAAGAAAUAACUUCUCAGUGUUCCAUCUGCUAUUCUACUACUCCUCAGGGAUUGCUCAGGCCUCCCUUCCUUUCCCUACACAUCAAGCUCAGGGAUUUGCCCCUGCCCAGGACUGGCAAAUUAGCUUUACUCAACAUGCCCCAAGUCAGGAAACUAAAAUACCUCUUGGUCAGGGUAGACACUUUCACUGGAUAGGUAGAGGCCUUUCCCACAGGGUCUAAGAAGGCCACCACAGUCAUUUCUUCCCUUCUGUCAGACAUAAUUCCUCAGUUUGGCCUUCCCACCUCUAUACAGUCCUAUAACAGACCAGCCUUUAUUAGUCAAAUCACCCAAGCAGUUUUUCAGGCUCUUAGUAUUCAGUGAAACCUUUAUGUCCUUUACAGUCCUCAAUCUUCAGGAAAGGUAGAACGGACUAAUGGUCUUUUAAAAACACACCUCACCAAGCUCAGCCACCAACUUAAAAAGGACUGGACUGGCCGGGCACCGUGGCUCAUGCCUGUAAUCCCAGUACUUUGGGAGGCUGAGGCAGGCAGAUCACGAGGUCAGGAGAUCGAGACCAUUCUGGCUAACACGGUGAAAACCUGUCUCUACUAAAAAUACAAAAAAUUAGCCAGGUGUGGUGGCAGGUGCCUGUAGUCCCAGCUACUCCGGAGGCUGAGGCAGGAGAAUGGCAUGAACCCAGGAGGCGGAGCUUGCAGUGAGCCAAGAUCGUGCCACUGCACUCCAGACAGAGUGCAGUGCAAGACUCCAUCUCAACAAAAAAAAAAAAGGACUGGACAAUACUUUUACCACUUUCCCUUCGCAGAAUUCAGGCCUGUCCUCAGAAUGCUAUAGGUUACAGCCCAUUUGAGCUCCUGUAUAGACACUCCUUUUUAUUAGGUCCCAGUCUCAUUCCAGACACCAGCCCAACUUGAACUGCACCCCAAAAACUUGGAUAGAGCCUAAAAAUUCACCAACCAAGCAAGUAAUUACGCUGAACCCCCUUGGGCACUCUCUAAUUAGAUGUCCUGGGUCCUCCCAAUUCUUAGUCUAAUAUCUGUUUUUCUCCUUCUCUUAUUCCAUUUAGUUUUUCAAUUCACACAAAACAGUAUCCAGGCCAUCACCAAUAAUUCUAUACAACAAAUGUUUCUUCUAACAACCCCAUAAUAUCGCCCCUUACCAUAAAAUCUUCCUUCAGCUUAAUCUCUCCCACUCUAGGUUCCCACGCCGCCCCUAAUCCCGCUCGAAGCAGCCCUGAGAAACAUCGCCCAUUAUCAAUCCAUGCCACCCCCCAAAAAAAUUUUCUCCCCACCCCAACACUUCAACACUAUUAUGUUUUAUUUUUCUUAUUAAUACAAGAAGAGAGGAAUGUCAGGCCUCUGAGCCCAAGCUAAGCCAUCACAUCCCCUGUGACCUGCACAUCUACAUCCAGAUGGCCUGAAGUAACUGAAGAAUCACAAAAGAAGUGAUAUUUAAAUGGCCUGUUCCUGCCUUAACUGAUGACAUUCCACCACAAAAGAAGUGAAAAUGGCUGGUCCUUGCCUUAACUGAUGACAUUACCUUGUGAAAUUCCUUCUCCUGGCUCAUCCUGGCCUAAAAAGCUCCCUGACUGAGCACCUUGUGACCCCCCACUCCUGCCUGCCAGAGAACAACCCCCUUUUUUCCUUUACCUACCCAAAUCUUAUAAAAUGGCCCCACCCCUAUCUCCCUUCGCUGACUCUCUUUUUGGACUCAGCCCGCCUGCACCCAGGUGAUUAAAAGCUUUAUUGCUCACACAAAGCCUGUUUGGUGGUCUCUUCACACAGAGUGAAAAAAGGCCUAUGUGAAAAAUGAUUAUUCUUGCUAUACUUUAUGCAAAUAACCAGGCCAACCAUGAGACUAAAGUUUAUUUUGCAAACAACUCAGUCCUAUCAUGAUUUGUUUUUGACAAAAAUGAGGACUGGAGAGAGAAAACUUAUGUUUCAAAACUUACACACUUGUCAUUAAAUUCUAAUCUCAUCGUUUUUUUUUUUUAAGUUUCUGCCUACAUUUUAGACUAACUCUGCUUAUUCCUGUGAACCAACCAGUGGUCUCUGGCUGCAGCUCAGAAAAAACAAAAGGGAUGGGUAAUGUAAAAAUCUGGAUGAGUAUUCUAGUUCUGGGCAAUUAUCCUGCAAAUCCUGCCAGGUGGUAUGAGUAAAUAGGAUGCCUAUAACCAGGAGGUUUCUCUGUUAGGAAAAUAAGAUCAAGGGAGCUAACCAAAGCCGAGCCCCAUGUACCGAAAUCUUAGCAGGCAUAACUAUAGUCACCAGUUAUCAGGUUGUGUUGACAGCCUAGGGAUUUUUGAGCUGCCCUUACCCACCUUUGUUUCGUUUUGAUACAUGUCUUCUAAUAAGCUAAAUUGUUUCUUCUUACUUAGAGGCCAUUAAACUUCAAAUGGUGAUGCAAAUGGAACCACACAUGGAUGUGCCAUUCUUCUGGGGACCCUUAAACAGACUCAGGAGGAGCCUGAGAUUAACAAUUUGUUUAAAACCCUGUCAGCAGGAAGCAGUUAAGAGCAGUCAUCGCCCACUUUCCCCAACAGCGGCCUGAGUCUCCACUUCUGAUGGGGGGAAUGAAAGGAGUUAGCCAGCCUGCUUUAGGCAGACAGUAAGGGAAGAGUCCCCAGAGAACCUCCAACCCAUAUUUUGAGCAGAUAAAGGAACUUGUACAGGGGGCUUGCCUAAACAUGCCCACAUGCGCACUGGGGGAAUGGGAUGGAGCCAACAGGAAUUUGUGUCUUAUACAAAUAAGGAAUCCAGUUCCAUCAGCUUGUAUGUAAAAGCUCUUAUAUUCAACUGUGAAGGGGGCAACUGGGAACCUGUUUUCAGGAUCCCUCUUUUUGCUGAGAGCUUUCCUUUCGCUUAAUAAAUUGCAUUCCACUCACU